AGCAGUUCCUGUUGGAAGGCGUCCAAAGAAACACCACUUUCAGUCAGGCAGAGCAAGCAGCAUCUACAGCAGCUCAAUACGGCAGAAGGCUGAAGGCUUAAUUGUGUUGUAUUGAAGGAUGAACAGAAACAACGUCGUGACGCAAGUCGUCCUCCAGAGAAUCCAGUCCUUGACUAUCGCACUUUGUCAUGAAACAACGGUUGGCCCAGGUAUGAAACGGCUGACGCUCGACUACUCCUCAAAUCAGGAAACUAAAAGGAAACUGCUGGGCGGAUUGGAAAGAAACAUGUGAACGGCCUAUGCUUUCUUCCCAAUGCUCUGCACUCGAUUCUUUGAAGGGGCCACAAGAUUCACAGUGGAUAUUAUUGGUCUGAUGACAGAGUUGGCUAUGGCUGGGGGGCUUUAUGGCAGUCCAGAGUACAGUAUUGCAACAGAGGCCUUGUUCACUGGAGUGCGUGGAGAAUGUGACUUACUCCCUCUUCAUCUUCAUCAGCACACCGCAUUGUAGCACAACAUGUCCGACUCAGUCAGUGAGUCAGUGAGUGAGUGAGUGAGUGAGUGAGUGAGUGAGUGAGUGAGUGAGUGAGUGAGUGAGUGAGUGAGUGAGUGAGUGAGUGAUGUAGGGCUAGUGCAUGGCCAUCUCUAAUAGCCUGUAGAGACAUGGGUCUGUCACAGCCCACCAUGCUCUCCUGGGUUAGAGAAACUGAACAAGACUUCCACUGCCACCACUCCUCACUGGAUGACCUUUAAAUCACACUAAUAGCCUGUAGAGACAUGGGGCAGCCCACCAUGCUCUCCUGGGUUAGAGAAACUGAACAAGACUUCCACUGCCACCACUCCUCACUGGAUGACCUUUAAAUCACACUAAUAGCCUGUAGAGACAUGGGGCAGCCCACCAUGCUCUCCUGGGUUAGAGAAACUGAACAAGACUUCCACUGCCACCACUCCUCACUGGAUGACCUUUAAAUCACACUAAUAGCCUGUAGAGACAUGGGGCAGCCCACCAUGCUCUCCUGGGUUAGAGAAACUGAACAAGACUUCCACUGCCACCACUCCUCACUGGAUGACCUUUAAAUCACACUAAUAGCCUGUAGAGACAUGGGGCAGCCCACCAUGCUCUCCUGGGUUAGAGAAACUGAACAAGACUUCCACUGCCACCACUCCUCACUGGAUGACCUUUAAAUCACACUAAUAGCCACAUAGUUCAGGGGGGAAAAGUGAGCAGAACAGAGUUAGUGAAAUAAAAAGUGUGAGAACGAGGCAAGUUAAGAGAGUUAAGUUGCACGUGCACAAUUUGGGAGAAGGGCGGAAAAUCGUCGCCAAUGAGUGCGUGAGUACAAGUAAUAGGCUAGUACGCAAGUCUGAGAGGCAGAGACAGAAUUGAGUAGCCUAUAAUAAGCGGGAACGAGAAGGACUAAAUGAGUGAAAGCGGGCCCGUCUCAGGGGGCCUCUCCUAGAGCUGGGCGAGUGUAACCAUUAUUAUUAUUUUUUUUAAAUAAUGAUGAAAUCAGCCAUCAAUAAUUGUCUGGUGAGGUGCUAGAGCUUGGCGAUACGGACCAAAAGUAUUAUCGUGAUAACUACCAAUUUUGUACAAUAAAAAUACACGUGUAUUUUUUUUAAUAAACAUGUUUUAAUGGACAGUUACUUUAAAAUUAGCAGUAGGGCUCUAGACCUUCCCCCAGUAAGACAACGGAGAUGGUAGCCUAUGAUUCAAAAAGUAAGCUAAUUCAUCUAACAUAUUCAGGGAAUGCAUAAUUGACAUUUUGAUGUGCAGCCUUAGCCUUACAAAAUAGGAUCCAGAUAUAUUUUUGGCUUUUCAGAGAAUUUGCUGACAUCCGGUUAUAUAUAUUACUCACCACUGAGGAAGUGGGAACUCAAAACACUUAGCUAGAUUGCUAACUCUUAAUACGAUAUUUUUGCUAUAUAUAUAUAUAUAUAUAUGAUAUAAAUUGAUGUUGUUUUAUGAUGAUACCAUCUAUCUUUUCAUAUUUGUGCAAAUCUUUCUAAAACAGAACACACCAAUCAAUGGAUAAUCAAUCAACGAAGAGGUAUACUUACGAGGCAUACAAAAGGAGACCUGUUUGAUCACCAUGCACUGGAAGAUCAUUCUGACUAUGGAUACGGAGAACGUCAACACAUUAACAUCAACACGCCAGAGGAAAGGGGGAUACCUAGUCAGUUGUACGACUCAAUGCCUGCAGGAUAUACCCACUGGACUUGGGGCUCUGCUGGGAGUUUACCUCAUAUUUGCAUGUUUUUAU